AUAGAACAAUCACUCUAGUUCAUUUUAUCCUGGGACAAAUGAAAGGUACCUGGCCAUUCAACCUUUGCCCCCAGUGGAAAAAUACAAAGGUAAGAAAAUAGCAAACCACAUAUUUCAGAAUCUAAUAUUUUAGAUUCUAUCUACUUCACAAAAGUAUGAAAUUUUCCUGAGUCUGUAUAGUGAUCCUCUAAGCAGAAAUUUUAAAAAAUGAGAAAGUAAAGUUUAAAGUAUAGUUCAAAGAAAUUUCACAUAUAAUUGGUGGUUCAAUGCUACAUAUGAGUUACCCUUUGUAAUACUUCCUUUGUCUUGGAUUUCUGUUAUCCUUACAUCUCUAAAUUUCGCAUAAAGAGCAAUGUGAAAAUGUCACUUACUUAAAAGCGUCAUUUUAUUAUAAGUGCAUCUUCUAUUGUGAACCAUACUUUUAUUCCAACACUUUUCUUCCUUAAUUUGUAUAGAAAACUACCAUUGUGAGAAAUGUUGUCCUGUUUUAGCUCACCCAUCCCACACAUUGGUUUUGAAGGUUCACUUAAGAUGUUCUACAACACAGUCACUAGAUGGGGUGGCAAGAGAAAAUGUGAGGCUGAAUCAGGCAGAAACUGCCUAGGGAGGAUUGGCACUGCUGUGGAGGUUGCAAGCAGUUAGUUUUUCGGUGUCAAGACACCAUCCUAGGCUCUGACUAGGAGGGGCCAUCAGAUUAGCAAUAUUAGAUGCAGAGGAGCUGGAAACUGUCACCAAUAACUCAAAGAAGUCCUAUAGGUAGACGCUGUUGGAAUGAAGUGGUUGUCCCUUGUCAUCGCUGGGACAUAGCUUUAUAGGAAUUUGAGAUCUCAUAGGACACAAGGCACCAAUAACUGGAGAAAAACUCAAAACCACCUGGUUCCCUAGUGUGGUAUUGUGUAGUGUUACAGAGUACAAAACACAAUGCCUUUUAAAAAAAUGUUUUUGAAGAGAAGUGCAUUUCAAAAUCUGAUCAAUAUUUUUUGAGCUCCCUUGAUGUUUUCCCCUCCCCUUUUCUCUCUCAGCAGGAAUGUGGACAUGGGUCAGGUUCAAAACCAACAUUCUGGAUAUGACCUAAGUUCAAAGGCGAUAUUUUAACGGCUGAAUUGCAAUAGCUAACAGAGACACGUUCUCAUAUGAUGAUUCAAAGGUACAGAACCUGACCCUCAAUUCAUGCUCUACAAAUCCUCCAUGCCCAACUUUAAUCAACAAGCCUUUCUCGGUUCUUUCUCAGUUGUACAUGCUGCUAUUUUUAUUUGAAAGAAACACAUGCACAUUUUACAGUUUCAGUCUCUCCAUUAUUUAUCGUGUCUGUAUUUAUCUGCAUGUUGUGUGCUAUAGACUUCACCCCUAAAUACAUCA